AUGGCAGUAUUGGCUGAAGCUUUGUAUCUAUUCAUAAUGAAGAUUAACAUGGACAAUGUGCAAGUUUUCCCCCAUACAGCCCCACCAAUAUGCCUCAACUCUGUCAUGGAGGGAUCAUCUCUGAGAUAAUGGGGAGAGUCCAUUUCCACUCAAUCUUUAGCCUCU
rnacentral:sRNA from 1 species